UACGUAGGCAGCGAGCGUUGUUCGGAAUUGCUGGGCGUAAAGAGUGUGUAGGCGGUGCUCUAAGUUCGGUGUGAAAUCUCCCGGCUUAACUGGGAGGGUGCGCCGGAAACUGGAGUGCUCGAGCGUGGGAGAGGAAAGCGGAAUUCCUGGUGUAGCGGUGAAAUGCGUAGAUAUCAGGAGGAACACCUGCGGUGUAGACGGCUUUCUGGACCAUUGCUGACGCUGAGACACGAAAGCGUGGAUAGCAAACAGG
rnacentral:rRNA from 1 species